rnacentral:lncRNA from 1 species
CUGGGCCAUGAGGAGCUUGUAGUCAAAUACAGGUUCUCAGGACCCCACAGUAAUAAGAGGAUGGGUGGCAAAGUGCUGUGUGUGAGUUUGGCUGUAAGUGGUGGUGUGAUAGAAAGAGGACUGGGUAAGGGGAGUUCAGCACAACUCUCGUGAGAGGCUGCAGCCUCCUCCACUUUGUGAUCUCCUCCCUGCUUCCCUGGGAGGGAUGGAUGAGAUAAUACCUAUGGAUACAGUGGCAGGAAGGCAUCUGGAUUGGAAUCAGGACUCCAGACAGACAAGUCCUGGUUGAGUGGGUGCAGUGUGUGAUAACCCAGGUGCCAGAGGGAUGUGGGCUUGCCCUGGGGCAUUCUCAUGGACACUGAGGUUUCCAGCCUUAUUGCACCAUGGGGAUUUCUCUUAUGUUUUUUGUCUGUUUUGUAAGAUAGCUGGUAAUACUCAAGGAUCAAUAGGGCCUUUGUACCCUUCCACCUUCCCCAGGUGCUCCCCUCCGUCUGAUGCCAGUGGACGUGUUUUGAACAAAGCACAGAGACUCGGCCCACUCGCGCUGGCUGAUUCUGUCGCAAGUUUUCUUCUGCAGUUAAUUUAGAGGGAAUUCCCUGCCGGAGGAAGGAAACAAAAAUAGAAAAUUCAUUUUUGGGAAUAUGCGCUACGUAACUAAUCAUGCUGUGACUGCAUUGUUGGGAGAAACCUUUUGGAAAUCAGUCCCACAGCAACCCACAGCCAGAGCAUCUCCAGUUCUGCAGAAUCAGCUGGCUGACAGCCUGCUGUACAGAUGCAACCCAGUCCUUCUCCGUGAUAGCAGAAGACAGUGACACAGUGC